UACGUAGGGCGCAAGCGUUAUCCGGAAUUAUUGGGCGUAAAGAGCUCGUAGGCGGUUUGUCGCGUCUGCCGUGAAAGUCCGGGGCUCAACUCCGGAUCUGCGGUGGGUACGGGCAGACUAGAGUGAUGUAGGGGAGACUGGAAUUCCUGGUGUAGCGGUGAAAUGCGCAGAUAUCAGGAGGAACACCUGUGGCGAAGGCGGCUCGCUGGGCCGGUCCUGACACUGAGGCACGAAGGCCAGGGGAGCAAACGGG
rnacentral:rRNA from 1 species